rnacentral:misc_RNA from 1 species
AAGUCGUAACAAGGUUUCCGUAGGUGAACCUGCGGAAGGAUCAUUAAAAAAUCGUUUGAGCCGCAAGGCUCUAUUAUUUUGUGCACCGUGUGGGCGGGUAAGUGAGUGGGUGGAAGUGAUUGUCAACAGAAAUACGCAGUGUCAAUAGUACGCGCGUUAUGUUGCUACCUUACCCUACUUUACUGGCCUACUAAAUUUAUAAACAUAUGUUUUUGACAUCAAGGAAUUAUAUCAUUAUGUAUAUAUACAACUUUCAACAGUGGAUCUCUCGGCUCUU